rnacentral:rRNA from 1 species
UACGGAGGGGGCUAGCGUUGUUCGGAAUUACUGGGCGUAAAGCGCACGUAGGCGGCUUUGUAAGUUAGAGGUGAAAGCCCGGGGCUCAACUCCGGAAUUGCCUUUAAGACUGCAUCGCUAGAAUUGUGGAGAGGUAAGUGGAAUUCCGAGUGUAGAGGUGAAAUUCGUAGAUAUUCGGAAGAACACCAGUGGCGAAGGCGGCUCACUGGCCCGCAACUGACGCUGAGGCGCGAAAGCGUGGGGAGCAAACAGG